AUGGCAUGGUCAACCUCUUCCAAUACUCCUCAACAAAAGCAUGAAGUGUUCCUUAGCUUUAGAGGCGAGGACACACGCUACACCUUCACUAGCCACCUUCAUGCUACUCUAACCAGACUUGAUGUCGGAACGUAUAUAGAUUACAAUCUUCAACGAGGAGAUGAGAUAUCGUCGGCGCUUCUUAGGGCCAUUGAAGAGGCCAAGCUUUCCGUCGUUGUUUUUUCGAAGAACUACGGGAAC